ensembl:lncRNA
UUGUCACGUUUGCGUUCGAUUUUGGGCGCAACAACCACUUCUUCUUCUUCGUCAUCUGCCAUUGGAGCGAUUUUCAAAAUACAAGUAUGUCCACCUUUAAUACUAACAUGCAAUUCUGAUGGGUCUUGCACUUCUUUGGAGUUGUCCCAGCAUGUAAAGACUUCAAACGAAGGUACCACUCCAAAAGUUUUAAUUUUAUUCAAAAUGUUUAUUAUGUUAUGGCUAUGCUUCAUGUUAACACCGAGCACUGAAAUAUUGGUCAAUUUACUGGGACGGUCAGGUGAUGAACGAAGAGACUCGAAAAACCAAAGACUCGAACGGUCCAAACUAAUCAAUUCUUUUUCUUGCUCGGAAUGUUCAAACUGCAUUGGUUAAGCUUAUUGGUCCAUCAUGUCAUCAACGAACGACUCGAAAAUGAUUGGAAACAGGCGAAUUAAUUACAGACAGUGCAGAAUCUAUUGAAUGUUAUGCAUAUGCGCGACUCAACGAGUCACUCCCAGAGACGACGCGUUCUUGCCGAUUCACAUCAAAGAUUUGUUCAAAAAUAACGAAUUGUUAAGGAAGGAACGACCCUUCACUAUGGCGGGAUUAAUGACUAAAUUGUUGCUAAUGGCGGUUCAAAAGCCCUCAAAAAAGGGAAAGCUCAAAGUAAUAAAAUGGCUUCAAAAGAAAAAGCUACUCACAAGCAGAGUACUUUGUUCAAGAUGUGGCCAAAAGAUGAAACUGACCAGGAACAGUAAAAUUUCUGAUGGAUAUAACUGGGUGUGCAGAUCUAAAAAUCAUCGUGGAGUUAAAAGCAGCCGAUCUGUAAGGACAGGAUCUUUAUUUGAAAAA